UACGGGGGGGUAAGCGUUGUUCGGAAUUACUGGCGUAAAGGGACGUCGUAGGCGGCCCAAACUAAGUCAGACGUGAAAUCCCUCAGCUUAACUGGGGAACUGCGUCUGAUACUGGAUGGCUUGGAUCCGGGAGAGGGAUGCGGAAUUCCAGGUGUAGCGGUGAAAUGCGUAGAUAUCUGGAGGAACACCGGUGGCGAAGGCGGCAUCCUGGACCGGUAUUGACGCUGAGGAGCGAAAGCCAGGGGAGCAAACGGG
rnacentral:rRNA from 1 species